UAGCGUAGCGGUAAACGCGCAGCUAUCAGCAAGACCAAGCUGAGGGUCGUGGGUUCGAAUCCCAC
rnacentral:tRNA from 1 species